CAACGUACAGAACCUCCCCUCAAAGUGGUGAAUAGCCUUCCGAAAGGAAGAUUAAUACACCGUAAUAUUAUGGAGUGGCAUCACUUUAUAAUUAUAGAUUUAUCGCUUAGAGAUGGCUGUGCGGCUGAUUAGGUAGUUGGCGGGGUAAUAGCCCACCAAGCCUGCGAUCAGUAACUGGUGUGAGAGCACGACCAGUCACACGGGCACUGAGACACGGGCCCG
rnacentral:rRNA from 1 species